GACGAACGCUGGCGGCGUGCUUAACACAUGCAAGUCGAACGGAAAGGCCCUGCUUGCCGGGUACUCGAGUGGCGAACGGGUGAGUAACACGUGGGUGAUCUGCCCUGCACUUCGGGAUAAGCCUGGGAAACUGGGUCUAAUACCGGAUAGGAGCCAUUUUUAGUGUGAUGGUUGGAAAGUUUUUUCGGUGUAGGAUGAGCUCGCGGCCUAUCAGCUUGUUGGUGGGGUAAUGGCCUACCAAGGCGGCGACGGGUAGCCGGCCUGAGAGGGGGGACGGCCACAUUGGGACUGAGAUACGGCCCAGACUCCUACGGGAGGCAGCAGUGGGGAAUAUUGCACAAUGGGCGCAAGCCUGAUGCAGCGACGCCGCGUGGGGGAUGACGGCCUUCGGGUUGUAAACUCCUUUCGCUAGGGACGAAGCUUUGUGUGACGGUACCUAGAUAAGAAGCACCGGCUAACUACAUG
rnacentral:rRNA from 1 species